rnacentral:rRNA from 1 species
GUGAGUCAUCGAGUCUUUGAACGCACCUUGCGCUCCUCGGUGUUCCGAGGAGCAUGCCUGUUUGAGUGUCAGUAAAUUCUCAACCCCUCUCGAUUUGUUUCGAGGGGGAGCUUGGAUGGUGGGGGCUGCCGGGGACUAGGACUCGUCCUGGACUCGGGCUCUCCUUAAAUGCAUCGGCUUGCGGUCGACUUUCGACUUUGCGCGACAAGGCUUUCGGCGUGAUAAUGAUCGCCGUUCGCUGAAGCGCAUGAAUGAAGGUUCCGUGCCUCUAAUGCGUCGACUUAACGGUCUUCCUUAUUGACUUUUGACCUCAAAUCAGGUAGGACUACCCGCUGAACUUAA